rnacentral:rRNA from 1 species
UACGUAGGCAGCGAGCGUUGUUCGGAGUUACUGGGCGUAAAGAGUGCGUAGGCGGUUUCGUAAGUCUGGUGUGAAAUCUCCCGGCUUAACUGGGAGGGUGCGCCGGAAACUGCGGAGCUGGAGUGUGGGAGAGGCAAGCGGAAUUCCUGGUGUAGCGGUGAAAUGCGUAGAUAUCAGGAGGAACACCUGCGGUGUAGACGGCUUGCUGGACCACUACUGACGCUGAGGCACGAAAGCGUGGGGAGCAAAC